UCCCUGGUGGUCCAGUGGUUAAAACUCUGCACUUCCACUGCAUGGGGCACAGGUUCAAUCCCUGGUCAGGGAA
rnacentral:tRNA from 1 species